rnacentral:rRNA from 1 species
GUGGGGAAUCUUGCGCAAUGGGGGAAACCCUGACGCAGCAACGCCGCGUGGGUGAUGAAGGCCUUCGGGUCGUAAAGCCCUGUCAGGUGGGAAGAAACCCAUCGGUGCAAACAGCACCGAUGAUUGACGGUACCACCGGAGGAAGCACCGGCUAACUCCGUGCCAGCAGCCGCGGUAAUACGGAGGGUGCAAGCGUUGUUCGGAAUUACUGGGCGUAAAGCGCGUGUAGGCGGUCGGGUAAGUCAGAUGUGAAAGCCCCCGGCUUAACUGGGGAACUGCAUUUGAAACUGCCUGGCUGGAGUUCGGGAGAGGAGAGUGGAAUUCCUGGUGUAGAGGUGAAAUUCGUAGAUAUCAGGAGGAACACCGGUGGCGAAGGCGGCUCUCUGGCCCGACACUGACGCUGAGACGCGAAAGCGUGGGGAGCAAACAGGAUUAGAUACCCUUGUAGUCC